rnacentral:rRNA from 1 species
GAUGAACGCUAGCGGCAGGCUUAAUACAUGCAAGUCGAGGGGCAGCAUGAUUGUAGCAAUACAAUUGAUGGCGACCGGCAAACGGGUGCGGAACACGUACACAACCUUCCAAUAAGUGGGGAAUAGCCCAGAGAAAUUUGGAUUAAUACCCCGUAACAUAACGAUGUGGCAUCACAUUGUUAUUAUAGAUUUUUCGCUUAUUGAUGGGUGUGCGGCUGAUUAGAUAGUUGGCGGGGUAACGGCCCACCAAGUCUAUGAUCAGUAGCUGAUGUGGGAGCAUGAUCAGCCACACGGGGACUGAGACACGGGCCCGACUCCUACGGGAGGCAGCAGUAAGGAAUAUUGGACGAUGGACGCAAGUCUGAUCCAGCCAUGCCGCGUGAAGGAUUAAGGUCCUCUGGAUUGUAAACUUCUUUUAUAAGGGACGAAAAAAGGUCUUUCUAGAUCGUCUGACGGUACCUUAUGAAUAAGCACCGGCUAACUCCGUGCCAGCCGCCGCGGUAACAC